AGAGUUUGAUUCUGGCUCAGGAUGAACGCUGGCGGCGUGCCUAACACAUGCAAGUCGAACGAAGCAUACGGACCGGAGAUUCGUCGAAGGACCGUAUGACUUAGUGGCGGACGGGUGAGUAAUGUAUGAGCAACCUGCCUUUCAGAGGGGGACAACAGUUGGAAACGACUGCUAAUACCGCGUAACGUAUCGAGGGGGCAUCCUCGUGAUACCAAAGGAGCAAUCCGCUGAAAGAUGGGCUCAUAUCUGAUUAGCUUGUUGCGGGGUAACGGCCACCAAGGCGACGAUCAGUAGCCGGACUGAGAGGUUGAACGGCCACAUUGGGACUGAGAUACGGCCCAGACUCCUACGGGAGGCAGCAGUGGGGAAUAUUGGGCAAUGGGCGAAAGCCUGACCCAGCAACGCCGCGUGAAGGAAGAAGGUCUUCGGAUUGUAAACUUCUUUUAUGAGGGACGAAGGACGUGACGGUACCUCAUGAAUAAGCCACGGCUAACUACGUGCCAGCCGCGGC
rnacentral:rRNA from 1 species